GACGAACCGUCCAAACGUUAUUCGGAAUUACUGGGCUUAAAGGGUGCGUAGGCGGCGCGGAAAGUUGGGUGUGAAAUCCCUCGGCUCAACCGAGGAACUGCGCCCAAUACUACCGUGCUUGAGGGAGAUAGAGGUGAGCGGAACUUAGGGUGGAGCGGUAAAAUGCGUUGAUAUCCUAAGGAACACCGGUGGCGAAAGCGGCUCACUGGAUCUCUUCUGACGCUGAGGCACGAAAGCUAGGGUAGCGAACGGG
rnacentral:rRNA from 1 species